rnacentral:lncRNA from 1 species
UUUGCGGGUCCUAUCUGGGUGAUCAGUCAACACAAGGGAAUGGCUUGAGAUACUUCCAACAUGUUCAAAUGGGGUCUAUUCAUCAGUCAAAAUAUUAAUCUUGAAGGAGCAAAAGUUUGUUCACGAACUGUUAUGCUCGUUAGGCGAAGCCCACGCGUUUCAAAAAAAAAAAGAAAAUAAAUAAAUAAAUAAAUAAAAUAUAACAGAAAAAUCUUGGACUUGGACCUCUCUCUUUUGAGCCCACAAAGUCACAAAAAUCAUGUUAUAAAUUCUAGACUUUCAU